GUAGGUGAACCUGCGGAAGGAUCAUUAACACGUAUCCAACGUUAAAACCCCCGUGAACUUUUAUUCGAUGCUCCUCACCGCUAAGUCUUGGAUGUAGCCGACAGCAAUUCCUGCACUCCGUCAUAGAAAAUGUUUGGAGGAGGAACUUCUGCAGGUAGAGCACUGUGAGUUUGAGCGCGGUAAGGUGGCUUGUUUUUCCCCAAGCAGUCAGUGAAUGAAAGUGUCAUUGAUUGUCUAAGGAUUUCGCUCAACGAUCACUGGAGGUCGAUUACCGACCGGUGGAGCAAGUCACAGGGCUUCGGCUCCCUACCCAACCCCACUUCCUAUUGCCGCUCCGCGCUAACAACGCCGGGCACCUAAAAACGUACUAAACAACUGUUAACAAUGGAUAUCUUGGUUCUC
rnacentral:misc_RNA from 1 species